CAGGCUUCUGCUGUGGACCACCCAUUUCCAUCCCGUGCUCAGCAAUGCCCUUUUCUGGUGCAGCUGUAUCCUCUGAGGAAUCACUCUGGAGCUCCAGGCCAGCCUGCAGGGUAAGGUGAUAGAGCCGUGGUGCUGCCUCCUCCUGCAUCAGGGAGCCCUCCCAGCUACUGCACAGCUCCUGUUCCCAGUAGGAAAUGGAGUCCAAGGUCUCCGAAGGCGGCCUGAAUGUCACCCUCACCAUCCGGCUGCUGAUGCAUGGCAAGGAAGUUGGCAGCAUCAUUGGAAAG